AGAGUUUGAUCCUGGCUCAGGACGAACGCUGGCGGCGCGCCUAACACAUGCAAGUCGAACGGAGCUUAGAGAGCUUGCUUUUUAAGCUUAGUGGCGAACGGGUGAGUAACGCGUGAGUAACCUGCCCUAGAGUGGGGGACAACAGUUGGAAACGACUGCUAAUACCGCAUAAGCCCACGGUACCGCAUGGUACUGAGGGAAAAGGAUUUAUUCGCUUUAGGAUGGACUCGCGUCCAAUUAGCUAGUUGGUGAGGUAACGGCCCACCAAGGCGACGAUUGGUAGCCGGACUGAGAGGUUGAACGGCCACAUUGGGACUGAGACACGGCCCAGACUCCUACGGGAGGCAGCAGUGGGGGAUAUUGCACAAUGGGGGAAACCCUGAUGCAGCGACGCCGCGUGGAGGAAGAAGGUCUUCGGAUUGUAAACUCCUGUUGUUGAGGAAGAUAAUGACGGUACUCAACAAGGAAGUGACGGCUAACUACGUGCCAGCAGCCGCGGUAAAACGUAGGUCACAAGCGUUGUCCGGAAUUACUGGGUGUAAAGGGAGCGCAGGCGGGAAGACAAGUUGGAAGUGAAAUCCAUGGGCUCAACCCAUGAACUGCUUUCAAAACUGUUUUUCUUGAGUAGUGCAGAGGUAGGCGGAAUUCCCGGUGUAGCGGUGGAAUGCGUAGAUAUCGGGAGGAACACCAGUGGCGAAGGCGGCCUACUGGGCACCAACUGACGCUGAGGCUCGAAAGUGUGGGUAGCAAACAGGAUUAGAUACCCUGGUAGUCCACACCGUAAACGAUGAUUACUAGGUGUUGGAGGAUUGACCCCUUCAGUGCCGCAGUUAACACAAUAAGUAAUCCACCUGGGGAGUACGACCGCAAGGUUGAAACUCAAAGGAAUUGACGGGGGCCCGCAC
rnacentral:rRNA from 1 species